AUGGACCCCAAAUUCCCCCCACCCCCACCGCUAAACAAAACGGAGCCCACCACCACCACCACCAACCAGCAGCAUCACCACGAUGAGCAGCAGCAGCAGCAUCGCCUCCAGAUUCAAGUUCAUCCUCAGCAGCAGGAGCAGCAGGAUGGAGGUGGAGGAGGAGGGAAGGAUCAGCAGCAGCAGCAGCAGAUGCAGGUGGUGGUUGCGGCGGCGGCGGGGGAGAGGAGGAUGCAGGGGCUAGGGCCGAAGCGGAGCUCGAACAAGGACCGCCACACCAAGGUGGACGGGCGGGGGCGGCGGAUCCGGAUGCCGGCGCUGUGCGCCGCCCGGAUCUUCCAGCUCACGCGGGAGCUCGGCCACAAGUCCGACGGCGAGACCGUCCAGUGGCUGCUCCAGCAGGCGGAGCCGGCCAUCGUCGCCGCCACGGGGACCGGGACCAUCCCGGCGUCCGCGCUCGCCUCCGUCGCCCCCUCCCUCCCUUCCCCCAACUCCGCCCUCUCCAGGUCGCACCACCACCACCACCACAUGUGGGCGGCAGCGCCGCCCACGGCGUCCGCCGGGUUCGCCGGUGCAGGGUUCUCCGGCGCCGACUCCGGGGUGAUCGGCGGGAUCAUGCAGCGGAUGGGGAUCCCCGCCGGGAUCGAGCUCCAGGGCGGGGGAGCGGGGGGGUUGGGGGGUGGGGGUGGCGGCGGCGGUGGCCACAUCGGGUUCGCGCCCAUGUUCGCCGGCCACGCGGCGGCGGCGGCGGCCAUGCCGGGGCUAGAGCUAGGGCUCUCGCAGGACGGCCACAUCGGCGUGCUCGCCGCGCAGUCGCUCAGCCAGUUCUACCACCAGGUCGGCGCCGCCGGUCAGCUGCAGCACCAGCACCAGCAUCACCAUCAGCAGCAGCAGCAGCAGCAGGAGGACGGGGAGGACGACCGCGACGACGGCGAGUCCGAUGAGGAGUCCGGGCAGUAGUAGCCGCGCCGCCUGAAUUUGUUCAUCCACGCGUCGUCUCUUCGGAGGAGAAAAGAGAAUUCUAGGAAGGACAUGCAGCUAAUGGAGGGGGGAAUGGAAUGCUUUUGUUACUGUUGGGUUGUUCUUCAUGGGGGUUUUUAUGUCUGAUUUUUUUUCCUCGUGUGGUGUCGAAGCUCGAAAGAGGCUACUACUUUGCUCCGGCGACUUGUUGGGAUGGAUCAUGAUCAUCUUCAGUUGUUACUCCUGCUGCUCCAUGGAUGGUUGCCGGUUUAUCCCCCUCCAAGUGUUUAGGUGUAUAAUAGCCGAGAGCUGGAUGGACUGGAUCAUCGCUGUCGAGUGAGUGCCUUAUUUGUUAUUGCAGGUCGUUGUGUAGAUAUUCAGGUAUUUUUGCAGUUAGAGAGGUCUUCUUUUUUUCCUUUUUACGAGAGUGAUGAUCCGCUUAUGUGCGACAAAUACGAUGUCCGUCAAACUGAUCCUCACCCACGGGCUGUUUCUGCAACGCAAAUAUGAUGCAUAUACAUUUUUAGAGGCCUGAUUUUAUAUGCUUAUUCUUUUGUGGUAUGUUGUAUGAUGUCGGUUUCAAGGUUUCUCUUGAUUUUCCCUGGCUUGCUUUUAGUUUGUGUAGCAUGUUUACUAUUUUUGUCAAUUUCUUGAUUUGGGUGACCUGUCUAUUAAUAGAACGGAACAGCAGAAACAUCAACAAUGUGUGCUUGCAGGCAUGGUGUCAACGUGUCAUGGUGAAAAUAAAUGUGUAAUGUUUCUCUGUAGAGCAUGUUUUACACUUUUAGUGCCUCAUAUAUAGCACACAAUUAUACAGUAGAGCAAUGCUUCAUGAUUGAGAAAAAAAUCGCAUGAUGUGGCGCUGUAAAUUCCAAGCAUUCCCACGGUGUUUAAGUAAAGUAAUAUAACUCAAAAGCUUUUCACCUUGUUCGUUGUACGGACUAGUGUCUUCCUGGCUAUGAGAAAUAGGAAUUGAGGCUAGCUCAGUUGGUAGGAGGAGGUGUGGGUGUACACUCCCACCACCCAAUUUUGGAUCUUCUAACUUCGGUGUAUAUUAAUUUCUUCGUUCUUUAAUUUCAUACCAAAGUUUGUCUUUGCUUUCCUAUAAAAUGAAGAUGGUAUGACCUUUUUGUUCCUGUGCCAUUGAAAACUCCAGUAAAUAUCUCAUAGAAUUUGAAAAAUAUCACGAACAAUCAACGGGAAGGGCAAGCAUGCUUCAUAAUCAUAAGGUGGACCCUUGAUGUUCCAUAAUCCAUAUCAUUGGUUGACACUAACCAAGACCAAACAACCUUUCAUGAUGAGUUCGGUGUGGAAAUGGCCCAACUAGAUUGUGCUGGUAUUGGCUUUAAGCUUGACUUUGUAACCUGAGCACAUAUAACACACCAUAAGGCUCACCUGUGCUCGGUUUUACCUCGUCUAUUUUCUUGUCAUAUGAAGGUCUCUAGCCACUACUGGUAUAUCAACAGAAGUUGUGAGGAGAUGCCAGUUAAGUGUAGUGUUAGGGAGAACCUUUACAUCUCAUCUAAUGGAAAGUUGCAAAAGUGAACAGUUAAAUCAAAAUCAUUUUACAAGUUGGGGAGCAGCAUGUUCAUUAUAGUUCAGUCACAAACAACAAAAAAGUGUUCUCCUGUGUGGGCUAGCAUGAGUGUGCCGGCAACUGUAGUUAUCCCAAAUCCCAUCUC
rnacentral:lncRNA from 1 species